rnacentral:rRNA from 1 species
UACGUAGGGUCCGAGCGUUAAUCGGAAUUACUGGGCGUAAAGCGUGCGCAGGCGGUUCGCAAAGACAGGUGUGAAAUCCCCGGGCUUAACCUGGGAACUGCGCUUGUAACUAGCGGGCUAGAGUACGGCAGAGGGGGGUGGAAUUCCACGUGUAGCAGUGAAAUGCGUAGAGAUGUGGAGGAACACCGAUGGCGAAGGCAGCCCCCUGGGCUAGUACUGACGCUGAGAAGCGAAAGCAUGGGGAGCAAACAGG